UUUUUAUGGCUUAACAUUAGGUUGGUGCAAAAGUAAUUGUGGGUUUUGCCAUUAACCAUAUUAAUAAUGUCGAAGACCUCAAUUACUUUUGCACCAACCUGAUAGCUCA
rnacentral:miRNA from 1 species